AAGAUAUAGUUUUUUCUGUGAUACUUUAUUCUGAUACGAUAUCAAAGACAUAUAUGAUGGGUGAUUCUUUCAUUCUUUGUCUUUGUUAGAAGUUCAGGUGUAUGCAUGCGGCUGUUUUACACACGCUUUGCUAUUUUACUGGUAAUAGGUUUUAUUGCCUGAUUUCACAUCGAGUUUUCCUAGUGGGAACGCUAUCUAGAUGAACUGCAUGUUUGAAUAACAACUAACGUUAGGAGCUUUUCUUCUGUUAUUUUCUCUUACUCCUUUUGGGUUUACUUUUUUGGCUUCUGCAAGUUGGUUGAAGUUGUUGCUUUAAGAUGCUAAAGAAGGAAACAUGUUAUUAACUCUGUUCUGUGCAGCUUUUUCUGCUAUGGGUUUUGUUCUUGGAUAUCAGGAAGAACUAAAUAAAUUUUCAUGUGAUUGCAUAUAAUUUUGGGACUUUAUAUCAUAUUAAUUUGUUGUUGGAAUUAGGAUAUACAUCGUCAAGUGCAAUUUUUGCCAUUAUUUCUUCUAACACAAUCAAUCUACAGUAUUUUGUUGAAGGUUUUUUCUAGUAAUUAUAUUUCAGCAGAAACUUUAGUAUCAAAUCUUAAUGCAUUAACACUUGCCUUCCUCAAUCUGGGCAAAGAGUAGUGUAGGUUGAUGGCUUUACUGAUCCCUUGGGUACUGAUAUUUCAUUUCCCUUGGCUGUCCUAUAUAUAUGCAGUAGGUCUUUAUAGUUUA
rnacentral:misc_RNA from 1 species